rnacentral:rRNA from 1 species
CCUACGGGAGGCAGCAGUGAGGAAUAUUGGUCAAUGGACGAGAGUCUGAACCAGCCAAGUAGCGUGAAGGAUGACUGCCCUAUGGGUUGUAAACUUCUUUUAUAUGGGAAUAAAAUGUUCCACGUGUGGGAUUUUGUAUGUAUCAUAUGAAUAAGGAACUGCUAACUACGUGCCAGCAGCCGCGGUAAUACGGAGGAUCCGAGCGUUAUCCGGACUUAUGGGGUUUAAAGGGUGCGUAGGUGGGUUGUUAAGUCAGUUGUGAAAGUUUGCGGCUUAACCGUAAAAUUGCAGUUGAAACUGGCAGUCUUGAGGACAGUAGAGGUGGGCGGAAUUCGUGGUGUAGGGGUGAAAUGCUUAGAGAUCACGAAGAACUCCGAUUGCGAAGGCAGUUCACUGGACUGCAACUGACACUGAGGCUCGAAAGUGUGGGUAUCAAACAGGAUUAGAUACCCCAGUAGUC